UACAGAGGGUGCGAGCGUUAAUCGGAGUUACUGGGCGUAAAGGGCGCGUAGGCGGUUAGUUAAGAUUGUUGUGAAAUCCCUGGGCUUAACCUAGGAACUGCAACGAUGACUGGCUAGCUGGAGUAUUGUAGAGGGUAGUGGAAUUUCCGGUGUAGUGGUGAAAUGCGUAGAGAUCGGAAGGAACACCAGUGGCGAAGGCGGCUACCUGGACAAAUACUGACGCUGAGGCGCGAGAGCGUGGGGAGCAAACAGG
rnacentral:rRNA from 1 species